rnacentral:snRNA from 11 species
AUUCUUACCUGGAUGUGGUUAAUGGGUGAUCAAGAUGAUCCAUGGCCUAGGCGAGUGACCUUCAUUGCACUUGAGGAGGGGUACUAGUCUAAGGUCUACCCAAGUGGUAGAACCUACAUCAUAAUUUGUGGUAGUGGGGUCGGCAUACGCGCGGCCCCUUC